rnacentral:rRNA from 1 species
GUUGACCGAUUUAGCAUCCAUAGCGUAUAUUAAAAUUGUUGCGGUUAAAACGCUCGUAGUUGGAUAUCUGCUAAGGGGUUCCGGUCCUUCCAAGUGGAGAAUACGCGGAACUCUUCUUGGCAUUUGUUCAGGGAAGAUGUUUGCACUUCAUUGUGUGUCAUUUGAUCUGAAUUUUUACUUUGAGGAAAUGAGAGUGUUUCAAGCAGGCUUUCCCCGUGAAUAUGAUAGCAUGGAAUAAUAGCAAGGACCGUGUGU